rnacentral:rRNA from 1 species
UACAGAGGGGGCAAGCGUUAUUCGGAAUUAUUGGGCGUAAAGGGCGCGUAGGCGGCUUUUUAAGUGAGAUGUGUAAUCCCCGAGCUCAACUUGGGAACUGCAUCUCAGACUGGAAGGCUAGAGUGCUGGAGAGGGUGGUAGAAUUCCACGUGUAGCGGUGAAAUGCGUAGAGAUGUGGAGGAAUACCAGUGGCGAAGGCGGCCACCUGGACAGUAACUGACGCUGAGGCGCGAAAGUGUGGGUAGCAAACAGU